rnacentral:rRNA from 1 species
UACGAAGGUGGCAAGCGUUGUUCGGAUUUACUGGGCGUACAGGGAGCGUAGGCGGUUGGAUAAGCCCUCCGUGAAAUCUCCAGGCUUAACCUGGAAAGUGCAGAGGGGACUGUUCAGCUAGAGGAUGGGAGAGGAGCGCGGAAUUCCCGGUGUAGCGGUGAAAUGCGUAGAGAUCGGGAGGAAGGCCGGUGGCGAAGGCGGCGCUCUGGAAAAUUUCUGACGCUGAGGCUCGAAAGCGUGGGGAGCAAACAGG